UUAGCUGUUGAUGUGGACUUUGUAGUUUCAAGGCCCAGUGUCAGCAGAAGUUCUCAUUACCUGACUUUCAUGUUGGACAGGUGUUCUUAUCAGUACCCUGGGUCUGGAGUUCCUCCUUGUCUUUGAAGUUCCCUGUUUUAGCAGACCGAGGUUAUCUGGCAAGCCAGAUAGAAGCUACUGGGACCUGAAGUAGCCUCUCGCGUGGAUAUUCCAAAGCAAGGUCCACAAAAAGAACUCUACAACCCUGGAGUCAAAACAGGCCCAGGACAGACUUGCAAUCAAUUAAAUAACCUAGAGGAGCAGGGACUUUGUAUCAAGGUACAGGUUUGUAGACGCCUACGUGUCCAGGCUGAAUUGAUCAAAAAGUAGCCAUGUGAACACAGGUCUUAUUCAAGAUCUCUUUUGUGUCAGUAUCUCUCCUUGAUUCAGCAUCCAAGGACACACAGUUCUGUGUGGGCAGAUUGAAGAAAGACAGGCUACCCUAUGCUGUCCAGUCCCAGCACAGUACAUCCUCUAUGCUCGGGGUUUGCUUAGCUGACACCUUGGCCAAGGCUUCUUUCUGCCUUCACUGGUGCCUACGAGUUCGGUAACAAGUAUUGAAGUGUGCCCCUUGUAACGCCGACGUGUGUUUUCCGUUUAUUACUUCCUGUGGACUGAGGGUAACUCAUAGAACUGCAGUGCGUGCUGAAGAGUGUGGACUAUGCCCAGAAGGACACUCACAGACAAAAUGGUCUCCUGUUCUCAUCUUUCCAGCACUCCUCUCGUCUGGUCUCUUCUCCACUAGUCGGAGUCUGAGAUGCGUGUGUGGUUUUUUUAGACUUCCCUAAAAGGUCCCCUGCCCAAGCUGGGGGCCGCAUCGUGGGUUACUCCAACCUGUUUGUCUUCUCAACUCCUGGAUCCACUGAAAACUACCGUGUUCCUAACUCACUGUAGUCAAGCUUCUUGGGUGUGGGGAGUAUUGUUUGGAAUUUUGUUGUUGCUGCUGCUGCUGCUGCUGCUGCAGCUGUUUGUUUUGGAGACAGAAUCUUGAGUAGCCCAGGGUGGCCUCAAUCUAACUGUGUAACUGAGGCAGGUCUUGAGCUCUCGAUAGUCUUGCCUCAGCUUCUUAGGUACUGGAAUGACCUCAUGUGCCACCACACCUGGCUUCCUUGUGAUAAAGUCUUGCUUUCUGCCUUAUGUGGCAACGCUGGUCUGUCAGCCAGACAUGUUCAUGGGUUUAUUCUCUUCCUCACCAGGAUCUCCCCCUGGACACUUGACCUCAUAAAAACCAGAGCCCUGAGAUGGAGCCAAGGACAUGCAUAAAGCUGUAGCCGGAAGAGAACAGAUGACUGAGGGAAAUAAUUUUAGGACAUUUUGGGAAUGGCAGAUGCUAAGUGGCUUCCAGGUUUUUAAAUGUUCUCUGUUGUGCUCUGUUUACUUUAUGACCAGUCCAUGUUUUGUCACUGAGGUACUCAGACCUUAUAAAAAGAAAAACUUUAGCUUGCAGUUUGAAAAGCUUUAAAAUCGAACCGGG